rnacentral:rRNA from 1 species
GUGCAGCAGGCGCGAAACCUCCGCAAUGCGGGAAACCGCGACGGGGGGACCCCGAGUGCCGUGGCAACGCCACGGCUUUUCCGGAGUGUAAAAAGCUCCGGGAAUAAGGGCUGGGCAAGGCCGGUGGCAGCCGCCGCGGUAAUACCGGCGGCCCGAGUGGUGGCCGCUAUUAUUGGGCCUAAAGCGUCCGUAGCCGGGCCCGUAAGUCCCUGGCGAAAUCCCACGGCUCAACCGUGGGGCUUGCUGGGGAUACUGCGGGUCUUGGGACCGGGAGAGGCGGGGGGUACCCCUGGGGUAGGGGUGAAAUCCUAUAAUCCCAGGGGGACCGCCAGUGGCGAAGGCGCCCCGCUGGAACGGGUCCGACGGUGAGGGGCGAAGGCCAGGGGAGCAAAACCGGAUUAGAUACCCCUGUAGU